rnacentral:tRNA from 1 species
GCCGAGAUAGCUCAGUUGGUAGAGCAUUUCCAUGGUAAGGAAAAGGUCCGGGGUUCGAUUCCCCGUCUCGGCUCCA